rnacentral:rRNA from 1 species
ACACGACUACAUUAGAUACCCUGUAGUCCUAGGCGUAAAUGAUGCCGAGGUUAAAGUGUGGGGGCAUCUACGAGAUGGCCCUGUGCUGUAGGGUAGCCGUUAAACUCGCUGCCUGGGGAGUACGGUCGCAAGGCUGAAACUUAAAGGAAUUGCGGGGGAGCACCACAACGGGUGGAGCCUGCGGUUUAAUUGGACUCAACGCCGGAAAUCUCACCAGAUAGGACAGACAUAUGAUAGUCGGGCUGAAGACUCUACUUGAUGAUCUG